rnacentral:tmRNA from 1 species
GGGGAUGAUCGGAUUCGACGGAGAGUUCUUUUCAAGAAAGGCAGGUGGAGCGCGAGAUCGCUCCUAAAUCUCUCUCAAAAAAAUAAUUGCCAACACAUUGGCUAGCAAGAUCAGAAACGCUUUUGCGUCUUUGACUCUUGCACCUGUUUUCGCUUAACUAAAGCGAGAACCAUCCCGACCCUUUGGCUAAGGGGAGGGUAAACGGGGUGUCAUAACACCUUAGCGCGCCGUUGAGCUUGUUCCCGGCGAGGCGGCGCUACUUUAGGGAACUCGAUCACUGGUUGGCGCUUCGGACGAUUAGUGAUUUAAAUCAUUCCGCAAGCUAAGCCUGUAGCAUUUCUUGUUACCCACUCUUCAGACAGGGGUUCAAUUCCCCUCAUCUCCACCA